rnacentral:rRNA from 1 species
AUUGAACGCUGGCGGCAGGCCUAACACAUGCAAGUCGAGCGGAGCUGCGGACGGGUGUGUAAUGCCUAGGAAUCUGCCUGGUAGUGGGGGAUAACGUCCGGAAACGGGCGCUAAUACCGCAUACUAUCAGAUGAGCCUAGGCCGGAUUAGCUAGAUGGUGGGGUAAUGGCCUACCAAGGCGACGAUCCGUAACUGGUCUGAGAGGAUGAUCAGUCACAUUGGAACUGAGACACGGGCCAGACUCCAACGGGAGGCAGCAGUGGGGAAUAUUGGACAAGGGGCGAAAGCCUGAUCCAGCCAUGCCGCGGGUGUGAAGAAGGUCUUCGGAUGGUAAAGCACUUUAAGUUGGGAGACGUUACCAACAGAAUAAGCACCGGCUAACUACGUGCCAGCAGCCGCGGUAAUAC